CACAAAUAACGGAAUUUGAAAGAUAUAACAAAAACAUGGAAGAUGUGAAAAAGCACAACGUGGCAUCCUAAAUUCUUUACAGAAAGAUUUCACAACUGCAUCGUAAAAAGAACACUUGUAAAAAAAAAUAAAUUCGAUUUACGAACCUGGAUUUGAGCGCGUUUAACCUCGGUGUAGAGCCAGUUGUCUGUAGAAAAGGCGAUUGCCAAGAGGCCAGUGGCAAUGAUACCGGUUAUGGUCGCGAGGGACAGCGUCACCGCAGAACAAGGCAUUUUGAUUCCACUCUGAUCAAGCGUUACAUUCACCUCACACGACACCACUGCAAGCUAUAGAUAUUGAGGAACAAGUAGUCGUUGUCGUCCUCCAGACUAUCGAGCAUCCGUGAAAAAGUGAAUCACGAAACAGAUCACGAACCAUUCAGAACGAAUUGGUCCAAGAAGUGAGAAAGCUUUCAAUUCAAUGACCGAAUUUGAUAACCCGAUAUAUGAAGAGGAAACGAGGAAGAAGAAGAGGACCAAUACUCAACGAUCGACGUCCUUCAGGGUGCCCGAUACUCCGUGAUACACAUUACUAUCAUUCUCUCCUACGACAACGACACUAACGGCCCGACUCAGCUUGGAGAAAA